AACGAACGCUGGCGGCAUGCCUAACACAUGCAAGUCGAACGAGGUCUUCGGGUCUAGUGGCGCACGGGUGCGUAACGCGUGGGAAUCUGCCCUUUGGUUCGGAAUAACAGUUGGAAACGACUGCUAAUACCGGAUGAUGACGAAAGUCCAAAGAUUUAUCGCCAGAGGAUGAGCCCGCGUAGGAUUAGCUAGUUGGUGUGGUAAAGGCGCACCAAGGCGACGAUCCUUAGCUGGUCUGAGAGGAUGAUCAGCCACACUGGGACUGAGACGCGGCCCAGACUCCUACGGGGGGCAGCAGUGGGGAAUGCUGGACAAUGGGCGAAAGCCUGAUCCAGCAAUGCCGCGUGAGUGAUGAAGGCCUUAGGGUUGUAAAGCUCUUUUACCCGGGAUGAUAAUGACAGUACCGGGAGAAUAAGCUCCGGCUAACUCCGUGCCAGCCGCCGCAGUAA
rnacentral:rRNA from 1 species